CCGUUAUGGCCCUUAAUUUUAUUUGAAGAGGAACUCUUAAUAAAGACCAGCGUUAGGUGAAGCUAGGUAACUCUUUUAGAUAGUUAGGGAUAACCCAAUUGCGCCCAGGAUCUCAUUCUCAUGUCUGCCCUGGUAAUGGUAAACGUAAAGCAGAAAAAUGUGCUAUUUUAAACAAAGCUGCCACUCCGUCCUUAAUAUUUGAAAUUAGCCACCCAGAGAAACAGGCUAACCCCCAAGAAAAGGCCCCAACAUCUAAAGCCGUGGAAGAGGAAAGUGCGGAGGAGGUAAGACUAACCUCAAGUGGACACUUUCUCUUCAUAGACGCACCAUGACUUUAAUGUGUUAACAAUGUUCCAGGCCCCACCAAAGGCUGUCGCACCAGCCAAGCCAGCACCGAAUGCAACUUAAAAUGAGGAUGACUUGGAGGAAGACUGAGAAAGCCCCCACCACCACCCAAAAAAGGCCAAAGCCACACCCACAAAAGCUCCAGCCAAUGCAGAAGUCAGAUUUACGAUGAAGAAUCUGAGGAGGAGGCACCCCCUCCCCCCCCACACACAAAGAAGGCUGAAGGUCACGGCAGGCAAGGAGGAGUCUGACGACAACGAUGAUGAGGACUUCCAGAUGGAUACCGCCCGGCACCCGCAGCAAAGAAAGCAGGCAUGGUCAAGGCUAAGGAGGAGUCUGACGACGAUGAUGGUUUUUGGGUCCGAAGCAGGCUGUUAUGUUCCACAGAGACCCCAGCAACUCCUGCAAAGAGGAAGGCUGACAACAGGAGACCCCCGCCUGCCAAGAAGGCUAAGUCCGAAAGUGAUGGGUGAGCCCUUAUAUUCAGCCCUUUCAACACCUGCUCCCACACUGAACCAUGAUACGCAUGAUGAACAACAAGGGGUUAACCUCUUGAAACUCCCCAUCCCGGAUCCGGGAUUGUGACUAAGCCUCAGGCUCAUUAGCAUAACGCAACGUUAACGAUUUCUGAAAAUCGCAAAUAAAAUUAAAAUAAUGCGUUUGCUCUCAAGCUUAGCCUUUUCUUAACAACACUGUCAUCUCAGAUUUUCAAAAUAUGCUUUUGAACCAUAGAAAUUGACUAAUUUGUGUAAGAGUAUGCAAAGCUAGCAUAGCAUUUUGUGUAGCAUGUAGCACGCAACAUUUUCACAAAAGCCAGAUAACCAAAUAAAUAAAAUCAUUUACCUUUGAAGAGCUUCUGAUGUUUUCAAUGAGGAGACUCCCAGCCACAUACCAAAUGCGCAGUGUUUCCUGAAAGCGUCUGUGUGUAGGAGAAAUCGUUCCGUUUUCUACAUUGCGCCUGGCUACCGAAACGAACCGAAAAUGCAGUCACCUACAACGUAAAACUUUUUCCGGAUUAACUACAUGAUAUCGACCGAAACAUGGCAAACGUUGUUUGGAAUCAAUCCUCAAGGUGUUUUUUCACAUAUCUCUUCAUUGACAUGCAGUUCGUGGAAGCUUGCUUCUCUCUCUGUGCCCCAUGGAAAAAUACUGGCAGGUGACUUUUGCGCACCAAUUUCGGCGCAGGACACCGGGCGGACACGUGGUAAAUGUGGUCUCUUAUGGUCAAUCUUCCAACGAUCUGCCUACAAAUACGUCACAAUGCUGCAGACACCUUGGGGAAACGACAGAAAGGGCAGACUCAUUCCUCUUGCGUUCACAGCCAUAUAAGGAGAUCAUGAAAGACAGAGCCUCAAAAAUCCUUGUCAUUUCCUGGAUGCCAAGUCAUCUUGGUUUUGCCUGAAGCUCACGUUAAAGGGCACGCACAGAGAAGAUAUUUGUAUUUCUGGACACGUCAGAGUGUUUUCUUUCGAACAGUAGCAAUUAUAUGCAUAGUCGAGCAUCUUUUUGUGACAAAAUAUCUUGUUUAAAACGGGAACGUUUUUCUUCCAAAAAUGAAAUAGCGCCACCAUAAGUGUAAGAGGUUAAUACUGAUUCCUUUGAUGUCACCUUCAUGUUAUUCUGACGGUGUUCGUAGGUUGCUGUUCAUGACGAUUGUUUAAAACAUAACCCAAUUGUUCGUUUUCCCCCCUCAGAUAUGUUCUUGUAGGCGGCAACCUGAACUCAAACAAACACUUUGAAAUCAAAGAAGCCUUGGCAGCUUUCUUCUCAAAGAAGAACCUUGAAGUUCAGGACGUCAGACUUGGCGCUUCAAAGAAGUUUGGCUACGUAGAAUUUGCCUCAGGGGAGGACGGCCUUGGAGCUGAACGGCAAGAAGUGCAUGGGACAGGAGUUGAAGAUGUAUAAGGCCCACAGCAAAGGGAACUCCCAGGAGGACAAAGGUACAUUUAUAUUACUGUUGCUAUUUGUAGUGCAUUGACUAAAUCUUGCUGUUUGAAACUAAUGUUUUCACAAAUGUGACAAUUGAAUAAACUGAAGUGGUGAUUUUAAA